rnacentral:rRNA from 1 species
UACGUAGGGGGCAAGCGUUGUCCGGAUUUAUUGGGCGUAAAGAGCGUGUAGGCGGCUUUACAGGUCCGUUGUGAAAACUCGAGGCUCAACCUCGAGACGCCGGUGGAAACCGUAAAGCUAGAGUCCGGAAGAGGAGAGUGGAAUUCCUGGUGUAGCGGUGAAAUGCGCAGAUAUCAGGAGGAACACCCGUGGCGAAAGCGGCUCUCUGGGACGGUACUGACGCUGAGGCGCGAAAGCGUGGGGAGCAAACGGG